UGUUUGACAUUUACAAGACAAUACAACCUAUCUUCAGUUAGUCAUCUCGUAACAAAAAGGCAUGGGUCAGAUUGCAUGGAACAGCUAUGUGAAUACCUC